rnacentral:rRNA from 1 species
UCCUACGGGAGGCAGCAGUGGGGAAUAUUGCACAAUGGGGGAAACCCUGAUGCAGCCAUGCCGCGUGUGUGAAGAAGGCCUUCGGGUUGUAAAGCACUUUCAGCGAGGAGGAAAGGGUGUAAGUUAAUACCUUACAUCUGUGACGUUACUCGCAGAAGAAGCACCGGCUAACUCCGUGCCAGCAGCCGCGGUAAUACGGAGGGUGCGAGCGUUAAUCGGAAUUACUGGGCGUAAAGCGUGCGCAGGCGGUUUGUUAAGCGAGAUGUGCCCGCCCCGCGCUCAACCUGGGAACCGCAUUUCGAACUGGCAAAAUAGAAUCUUGUAGAGGGGGGUAGAAUUCCAGGUGUAGCGGUGAAAUGCGUAGAGAUCUGGAGGAAUACCGGUGGCGAAGGCGGCCCCCUGGACAAAGACUGACGCUCAGGCACGAAAGCGUGGGGAGCAAACAGGAUUAGAUACCCUGGUAGUCCACGCCGUAAACGAUGUCUACUCGGAGUUUGGUGUCUUGAACACUGGGCUCUCAAGCUAACGCAUUAAGUAGACCGCCUGGGGAGUACGGCCGCAAGGUUAAAACUCAAAUGAAUUGACGGGGGCCCGCACAAGCGGUGGAGCAUGUGGUUUAAUUCGAUGCAACGCGAAGAACCUUACCUACUCUUGACAUCCAC